AAGGGGUGGGCUGGAGCUGCAGCCUGAGUCCUGGAGAGCCGCUUGGCUCCGAAGAGGUCCCAGCUUAGUGGCAGCUGAAUCCUGUAAACAGGUUUUUUUGUCUUUGUGUGUUGGUUUGAGAUGUGUCUGUUCUCGUUUUUAAAAGCUUCGAGUCGCAAUCUCGCCUUAGCUAUUCAGCCUUUUAAGUUUCCUAAAGUAGGCCAGUUGUGUGUGUUUUGGACAAAUGGAUGGCGGUGUGCCACUGCUCCAAGGCCGCUACAGUGUAUCAACUCUUCGGUUUAAUAACACCAGAAUGGCAGCUCUUUGAGUUGUGUUUUGACAUAAUGUAAUAGUCAUAUUUUCAAAAUGACCUAACGCUCGAUUCAGAUUAGUCAUUAACCCUGAGGCGAAAGUUGUCAGCGAGCCAAAAAAGAAAAGAAAAAAAGAGAGAACCUUGCCUAGUUCAGCCUCUGACAGGGAGAGGAAAGCCCUUUCUGUACUACAAGCCUCAAUUUGGAAGCAGAGCGCGGGUCUGGGGAAAACCCUAUAACCGGUGUUUACCUCCCUCCCACACACAUGCAGACACUCUUUUGGCCCUAGUGAAGUCUUCUUUCAAUUAUAGUUAUUGAUUUCCAUCUUCCCCUGAGCAACUAUUAACCCUAUCCAAGGAGGAAGCUGCUUGUUAUUGGGGUAUAUUGAGCUGGAUCUGAUCUUCCCCUUCCAACUACUUAUCUUCUGAAGUAAGGGAGUGGCUAGUGUUUAUUGAUUCAGUAAAUACCCGCAGUUGCUUUCCCUGCACCAACCACUGCGUUCAUAUUUCCUCUGUUAGGAUAGCUGCUCUCUAUUACACGUGAGAAUCACUGCUAGCACCCAGCUAUCUGUUGUAUAGUGAGUGUUUUGGGUGUACAGCGUACACACUGUCUUAGCCUUCCUGAGCAAUUCGUCUAUGCAAUGGAGAGGUACAACUAUCAAAAAUAGCGAUUUUUUUUUUUUAACCAAGAGUAAUUACCCAACCCAGAAACUUGACACCGGCCAUGAGAAAAUUCCUGGUAGAGUAGCUGCCCUCUUUUUAAGAAAUGAUCUUUGACAUCUGUCUUUCCUUAACCAUCUUGACCUCUGCACAGUGGGAACUGUGCCUACAGUUUCGAAAAUAGCUAUAUGAUUAGAUGACCAAGCAAGUAAUUCAUCUAUAAACAGUGCUGCCUUCCAAAGGGGACACAGUAGUAACGAAGUUGAAAGACGAUGAAUCUGGCUGCAUAACCCCUGGAAUCACAAAGAGGAGCAAAUGCUAUCAAAUGCUUUCGCUGUAGAAUUUUCCUUGAUGUUUGACAAUGUUCUCUUGUUCCUUUGCAUCUGUUGCAUUAAAAGCUGGAGUUCCAGA
rnacentral:lncRNA from 1 species